rnacentral:tRNA from 1 species
GCCUGGGUGGCUCAGUGGUUGAGCAUCUGCCUUCAGCUCAGGUCAUGAUCCUGGGGGUCUUGGGAUCAAGUCCUGCAUCAGGCU